AAGUCGUAACAAGGUCUCCGUUGGUGAACCAGCGGAGGGAUCAUUACUGAGUACUACACUCUCUACCCUUUGUGAACUAUUAUACCUGUUGCUUCGGCGGCGCCCGCAAGGGUGCCCGCCGGUCUCAUCAGAAUCUCUGUUUUCGAACCCGACGAUACUUCUGAGUGUUCUUAGCGAACCUGUCAAAACUUUUAACAACGGAUCUCUUGGCUCCAGCAUCGAUGAAGAACGCAGCGAAACGCGAUAUGUAAUGUGAAUUGCAGAAUUCAGUGAAUCAUCGAAUCUUUGAACGCACAUGGCGCCUUCCAGUAUCCUGGGAGGCAUGCCUGUCCGAGCGUCGUUUCAACCCUCGAGCCCCUGUGGCCCGGCGUUGGGGAUCUGCCACGGCAGGCCCCUAAAACCAGUGGCGGACCCGAAGGGCCCUCUCCUUUGCGCAGUAGCAUUCGCCUCGCAUCGGGAGUCCUCGGCGUCCUGCCUCUAAACCCCCCACAAGCCCGCUUCGGCGGCACCAAGGUUGACCUCAGAUCAGGUAGGAAUACCCGCUGAACUUAA
rnacentral:rRNA from 1 species